UACGUAGGUGGCAAGCGUUGUCCGGAUUUACUGGGCGUAAAGAGCGCGCAGGCGGUCGUUCAAGUCGCGUGUGAAAGCCCCAGGCUUAACCUGGGAAGUGCACUCGAAACUGUAGGGCUUGAGUAUGGAAGAGGGUCUCGGAAUCCCCGGUGUAGAGGUGAAAUUCGUAGAUAUCGGGAGGAACACCAGUGGCGAAGGCGGAGACCUGGGCCAAUACUGACGCUGAGGUGCGAAAGCGUGGGGAGCAAACAGG
rnacentral:rRNA from 1 species